rnacentral:lncRNA from 1 species
UCCAGCAUACAAAUGGAUGAUGUUUCUCUUUUUAAUUCUUUUUGCUAAUGUCUGCCUUUCCAUUGGAGUGGUUAGUCCAUUUAAAUUACAAUAAGGGUUCAUGGAUUACUCAAAGUCUAUCUGGAGGAAGCUAGUAGUGGUGGCUCUAGGCUUAGUCCACCCGUCAGCCAGAGCAGCUCCUAUUGUCGACUGUUUUUACAUAUUGAACCUUCAAGAAAGAUUUUAUUUGAUCCAAGUGUGUUGCAGGUCCCACUCCUCCAGAAAAUAGUUCAUAAAUACCCAGCUAGAUGAUCUGUGUUAUCAGUUUCAACAAAACAUCUGUAAAAAUCCUGCCCUUCAAGAUGCUUUUUCCCUGUUUACUUUAUUCAGUGAAGAAGCUAGACUGUGUUCACCUUCUUUUCUUUUAUCCCUGUCAUCCUCCUGGAAUAGUCACCUGCCCGCCAUUCUUGUCAAUGAGUCAUAAAUUGGGAUCAACUUCAGCGUCUCUCAGCAGGGGGCUGUCUGAACAAAUUGUGGCGAGUUCAUUCCACGGACUGCACUACAGCCACUGAAAAUGAGGUGGCUGGCUUCUGUGUGCUAACGUGCAAUGAUGCCCAUAUGUAUUCUUCAAGGAGGAAAUCAAGUUUGCAGUACAACGUAUAUGAUACGAAACCAUUUUUGCAAUACCUGAAAAUAUUUUGAUGGUGAAAUAUUGAGAAAGAUACACAGAAAUAUCAUGGCUGCCUCUAGAGUUUAGACCUGGGGAGAGGAGAGUUUCUGCUUUUCGCUCCACAUCUUCUCUCUAUUUUGAUAUUUUUCUAUGAGCAUUUAGAUGUUUUAUGUCACAAAAGAAAGCUAGACCAAUACUCUAUUCACAGUGUAAAUAAUAUGGUAAAACAGAAACUCUAGCCAGCUAAAUAUUAGAGGAGGCCUUUGGUGUUUUUGUUCGUAACCUAUACAUCGUCAAAGUGUAAAAAUCUCAGUAACUGAGAUGUUUGUUUCACUGGGGUGCGCAGGAUUUAGAAAGUGAUUUGUAAAAGCAGAUUGUGCCCAUAGAGAAACAAAUAAGUGAAAACUGAUAGUUUGAAAACUAGGAUGAGUUGAAUUUUACAAGUCAAACAAGGAACCUUGAACAAAUAUGGACGUAAACACAACAGGGACCAACCUCCAAAGGAAACACCAACACACACAUACACAAAGCAGGCAUCAGGUUAACAUAGACACAGACCCUUUCACUGGGGCACAGAAUCUCUCCCCUUUUCCCCUAGUGAACAAAAUGGAAGCCACAUGGUCUUAUAGGACCUCACCUCGGAAUUCAUACAGCAUCACU